UACGUAGGGUGCGAGCGUUUAAUCGGAAUUACUGGGCGUAAAGCGUGCGCAGGCGGCGCGUUUAAGACAGGUGUGAAAGCCCCGAGCUUAACUUGGGAAUUGCGCUUGUGACUGGCGUGCUGGAGUGUGGCAGAGGGAGGUGGAAUUCCACGUGUAGCAGUGAAAUGCGUAGAGAUGUGGAGGAACACCGAUGGCAGAAGGCAGCCUCCUGGGCCAGCACUGACGCUCAUGCACGAAAGCGUGGGGAGCAAACAGG
rnacentral:rRNA from 1 species